rnacentral:sRNA from 1 species
AUGUCCCACGCGCGCACUCCGCACCCGUCCGCACCCACCUGACGACCGCUCGCUAAGCGUUGUCGGCC